rnacentral:rRNA from 1 species
CCUACGGGAGGCAGCAGUGGGGAAUCUUGCGCAAUGGCCGCAAGGCUGACGCAGCGACGCCGCGUGUGGGAUGACGGCCUUCGGGUUGUAAACCACUGUCGGGAGGAACGAAUACUCGGCCUCGAAUAGGGGACCGAGGGUGACGGUACCUCCAAAGGAAGCACCGGCUAACUCCGUGCCAGCAGCCGCGGUAAUACGGAGGGUGCGAGCGUUGUCCGGAAUCACUGGGCGUAAAGGGCGCGUAGGUGGCUCGUUAAGUGGUUGGUGAAAUCCCGGGGCUCAACUCCGGGGCUGCCGGUCAGACUGGCGGGCUAGAGCACGGUAGGGGCAGAUGGAAUUCCCGGUGUAGCGGUGGAAUGCGUAGAGAUCGGGAAGAACACCAGUGGCGAAGGCGUUCUGCUGGGCCGUUGCUGACACUGAGGCGCGACAGCGUGGGGAGC